rnacentral:tRNA from 1 species
GGCGGUGUAGCCAAGUUGGCCUAAGGCGAUGGUUUGCAAAACCAUUAUUCACCGGUUCAAAUCCGGUCGCCGCCUCCA